rnacentral:rRNA from 1 species
GAUGAACGCUGGCGGCGCGCCUAACACAUGCAAGUCGAACGAUUAAAGCACCUUCGGGUGUGUAUAAAGUGGCGAACGGCUGAGUAACACGUGGGCAACCUGCCCCUUUCAUUGGGAUAGCCACGGGAAACCGUGGAUAAUACCGAAUACUUCGAGACUUCCGCAUGGAAGACUCGAGAAAGCUCCGGCGGAGAGGGAUGGGCCCGCGGCCUGUUAGCUUGUUGGUGGGGUAACGGCCUACCAAGGCAAUGAUGGGUAGCUGGGUUGAGAGACCGACCAGCCAGAUUGGGACUGAGACACGGCCCAGACUCCUCCGGGAGGCAGCAGUGGGGAAUCUUGCACAAUGGGCGAAAGCCUGAUGCAGCGACGCCGCGUGCGGGAUGAAGGCCUUCGGGUUGUAAACCGCUUUCAGCAGGGACGAGGCGACAGUGACGGUACCUGCAGAAGAAGCCCCGGCUAACUACGUG